rnacentral:rRNA from 1 species
UACAGAGGUCCCAAGCGUUGUUCGGAUUCACUGGGCGUAAAGGGUGCGUAGGCGGUUGGGUAAGUCUGAUGUGAAAUCUCACAGCUUAACUGUGAAACUGCAUUGGAUACUAUCCGGCUAGAGGAAUGGAGGGGGAGACUGGAAUACUUGGUGUAGCAGUGAAAUGCGUAGAUAUCAAGUGGAACACCAGUGGCGAAGGCGAGUCUCCGGACAUUUCCUGACGCUGAGGCACGAAAGCCAGGGGAGCAAACGGGG